GGGCGUGUAGCUUAGUUUGGCUGGAGCACCCCGCUGAUAACGGGGAGGCCACAGGUUCAAAUCCUGUCAUGCCCACCA
rnacentral:tRNA from 4 species